rnacentral:rRNA from 1 species
UACGAAGGGGGCUAGCGUUGUUCGGAGUUACUGGGCGUAAAGGGCGCGUAGGCGGCGCACCAAGUCAGGCGUGAAAGCCCUGGGCUCAACCCAGGAAGUGCACUUGAAACUGACAGGCUUGAGUAUGGAAGAGGGUCGCGGAAUUCCCGGUGUAGAGGUGAAAUUCGUAGAUAUCGGGAGGAACACCAGUGGCGAAGGCGGCGACCUGGGCCAAUACUGACACUGAGGUGCGAAAGCGUGGGGAGCAAACAGG